AGACCCGAAACCCGGUGAUCUAGCCAUGGGCAGGUUGAAGGUUGGGUAACACUAACUGGAGGACCGAACCGACUAAUGUUGAAAAAUUAGCGGAUGACCUGUGGCUGGGGGUGAAAGGCCAAUCAAACCGGGAGAUAGCUGGUUCUCCCCGAAAGCUAUUUAGGUAGCGCCUCGUGAAUUCAUCUCCGGGGGUAGAGCACUGUUUCGGCUAGGGGGCCAUCCCGGCUUACCAACCCGAUGCAAACUGCGAAUACCGGAGAAUGUUAUCACGGGAGACACACGGCGGGUGCUAACGUCCGUCGUGAAGAGGGAAACAACCCAGACCGCCAGCUAAGGUCCCAAAGUCAUGGUUAAGUGGGAAACGAUGUGGGAAGGCCCAGACAGCCAGGAUGUUGGCUUAGAAGCAGCCAUCAUUUAAAGAAAGCGUAAUAGCUCACUGGUCGAGUCGGCCUGCGCGGAAGAUGUAACGGGGCUAAACCAUGCACCGAAGCUGCGGCAGCGACGCUUAUGCGUUGUUGGGUAGGGGAGCGUUCUGUAAGCCUGUGAAGGUGGCCUGUGAGGGUUGCUGGAGGUAUCAGAAGUGCGAAUGCUGACAUAAGUAACGAUAAAGCGGGUGAAAAGCCCGCUCG
rnacentral:rRNA from 1 species